rnacentral:rRNA from 1 species
GAUCCUGGCUCAGAUUGAACGCUGGCGGCAUGCUUUACACAUGCAAGUCGAACGGCAGCGGGGGCUUCGGCCUGCCGGCGAGUGGCGAACGGGUGAGUAAUGCAUCGGAACGUGCCCAUGUCGUGGGGGAUAACGUAUCGAAAGGUACGCUAAUACCGCAUACGUCCUGAGGGAGAAAGCGGGGGAUCUUCGGACCUCGCGCGAUUGGAGCGGCCGAUGUCGGAUUAGCUAGUAGGUGAGGUAAAGGCUCACCUAGGCGACGAUCCGUAGCGGGUCUGAGAGGAUGAUCCGCCACACUGGGACUGAGACACGGCCCAGACUCCUACGGGAGGCAGCAGUGGGGAAUUUUGGACAAUGGGCGCAAGCCUGAUCCAGCCAUGCCGCGUGAGUGAAGAAGGCCUC